UAGUUGUAAGUAAAAAAUCUACUAUUUGUCACAUCAUAAAUCUCAACAGGAUAGCUCAACUGGUUAGUCAUCUGACUUACACUCUUGAGGACUUGGGUUUGAGUCCAGGCUGGGAUAAGUCAAUCGGUAAGGUGAGGUAGGACACAGGAAAUAUUAUAUUUAUUAUUAUUAGUUAGUGUAAAAACUACAUUUUAUUUUACAGUGUAGAUGAGAUGUACACUGACAGUCAUUAAACGUCCAAAUGAGACGUGCCAAAAGACGUGUAAUUCAUGUCCAGAAAAGACGUCGGUUCAACUUUCAUUUUGGAACUAUUUUUAAACCAUGACGGGACGUGUCGGCCCGACAUCUUUUCAACGUUGAUUAAACGUCCGAAUGUUUGCUGGGACUUUACUCGACACCAAAAUAGCAUGAGGUGAUGAGUAAACAGCGUGGGGUAACCUGUAUGCUCCACAGGAACACAACUCAGUACAAAAGUGGUGUUACUGGACAUUCAGCUCAGUUUUAUGGCAGAAGGGCAGAAAGGUCCACGAACGUCUGGCUGCCUAGAAGGUGACAGUGAAUGCUGGAGCUGGGCCAUUUAGUAGCAGAGGAAAAGGAAGAAAGAGGAGCAGGCAGACGGGAAAGAGGAAAUGGCAAGGAGACAGAGUUCUGAAGGAGUCAACAACAACAGAAGUGAGGAGGGCAAAACGGAGCAGCAGGGAGUCAAGGAUGGAGCCGAGACAAUGUGGAGCGAGAAGAAGAAGAGGUUAAAGGCGGCUGAGAGCAGGACAGCCUAAAACUGGACCCUGGCUCCGACUCAGAAGCGUUGAAACCACUUUAUAUCCUUUAUUCAGCUCCUAAAAGAUUCACUCAGAACAUUUAUUUUAUAAAUAGUUUUAGGUGAAAUGCUCCUGAUUUAACAGCUAAUGCAAACCCGCUGAACCUGCAGCUGACACGCAACUGACAGACAUCAGAGUCUCUGAAAACCAUUUAUCACCCUUCUGUUAAAUAGUUCUGAAUCAGUAGAUAAAGUCUGGCAUCCAUCUCCUCACAGACUUUCAUCUAGAGUCUAGAGCAGGAAAACCAAACGAGUGCUGAGGAGUCCUCGACCUGAAACCCACAGCCUGACUGUUUUUUCCUCUUUGACCGGCCUUUUCUGUUUCCAUUGUUCUGUAUCUCUGUCUUCAUCUUCCCCUCGUUUGGAUUCAGGACUUUGGUCCAAACAGAACCAGGGGGAGCCCCAGUCUGGCGGACUCUGAUUUAAACUGAGCUAUAAUGUUUGGCCUUCGGUUGUGUUUUGUUGCAGGGUGAACUCUGAUGAUGGGAGGUAAUAAAUUCAGACCUGAGCAGA